rnacentral:rRNA from 1 species
AAAAGCUGUAGGGGGACGCAGGAAGGUAGGUGAUCCCAGGCGAUGGUUGUCCUGGGGUAAGCGUGUAGGGAGAAGGUUAGGCAAAUCCGACCUUCAUACAUCCUGAGACGCGAUACCGAAGCCGUAUGGCCUAAGUCACUGAUCCUAUGCUGCCAAGAAAAGCCUAGUAGCGAGUUGGCACGGUGCCCGUACCCCAAACCAACACAGGUGGAUAGGUAGAGAAUACCAAGGCGAUUGGGAGAACUGUGGUUAAGGAACUCGGCAAAAUGCAUGCGUAACUUCGGGAUAAGCAUGACCUCGUUAGGGUGAAGGGACUUGCUCCCGGAGCUCGAAGAGGUGGCACAGAAUUGGGGGAAGCGACUGUUUACUAAAAACACAGCAGCGUGCGAAGCCGAAAGGCGCUGUAUACGCUGUGACGCCUGCCCAAUGCUGGAAGGUCACGGGGAAGGGUUAGCCCUAGGGCGAAGCUCUGAACCUAAGCCCCAGUGGAUGGCGGCCGUAACUAUAACGGUCCUAAGGUAGCGAAAUUCCUUGUCGGGUAAGUUCCGACCUGCACGAAUGGCGUAACGACUUCCCUACUGUCUCAACCACAGACCCAGCGAAAUUGAAGUACGAGUAAAGAUGCUCGUUAGCUGUAGAAGGACGGAAAGACCCCGUGGACCUUUACUAUAGCUUGAUAUUGAGUCUUGUCAUGCGUUGUGUAGGAUAGGUGGGAGGCUAGGAAGCAUGCACGCCAGUGUGUGUGGAGCCAUCCUUGAAAUACCACCCUGCGUAUGGCGGGACUCUCACCCUGACCCGUUAUCCGGGCCGGGGACAGUGUCAGGUGGGUAGUUUGACUGGGGCGGUCGCCUCCUAAAGAGUAACGGAGGCGCCCAAAGGUUCCCUCAGACUGGUUGGCAAUCAGUCGUCGAGUGCAAUGGCAUAAGGGAGCUUGACUGCGAGACGUACAGGUCGAACAGGUGCGAAAGCAGGGCAUAGUGAUCCGGCGGUUGCGUGUGGAAGCGCCGUCGCUCAACGGAUAAAAGGUACCCCGGGGAUAACAGGCUAAUCUUCCCCAAGAGUCCAUAUCGACGGGAAGGUUUGGCACCUCGAUGUCGGCUCAUCGCAUCCUGGGGCUGAAGCAGGUCCCAAGGGUUGGGCUGUUCGCCCAUUAAAGCGGUACGCGAGCUGGGUUUAGAACGUCGUGAGACAGUUCGGUCCCUAUCCUCUACAGCCGGAAGUGACUUGAGAAAAGCUGUCCCUAGUACGAGAGGACCGGGAUGGACGCAGCUCUCGUGUGCCAGUUGUCCUGCCAAGGGCAUGGCUGGUUAGCGACCUGCGGGCGAGAUAACCGCUGAAAGCAUCUAAGCGGGAAGCUCCUUUCAAGAUGAGGUCACUCACAGGGUCAACCUGGUAAGGCCCGUGGUAGACCACCACGUUGAUAGGCCGGAAGUGUAAGCGCGGUAACGCGUUCAGCUGACCGGUACUAAUCGGCCGAGGGCUUGGUUG